rnacentral:rRNA from 1 species
GACGAACGCUGGCGGCGUGCUUAACACAUGCAAGUCGAACGGAAAGGCCCUGCUUUUGUGGGGUGCUCGAGUGGCGAACGGGUGAGUAACACGUGAGUAACCUGCCCUUGACGUUGGGAUAACUUCAGGAAACUGGGGCUAAUACCGGAUAGGAGCUCCUGCUGCAGGGUGGGGGUUGGAAAGUUUCGGCGGUUGGGGAUGGACUCGCGGCUUAUCAGCUUGUUGGUGGGGUAGUGGCUUACCAAGGCUUUGACGGGUAGCCGGCCUGGGAGGGUGACCGGCCACAUUGGGACUGGGGUACGGCCAAGAGUCAUACGGGAGGCAGCAGUGGGAACCAUUGCACACUGGGCGGAGGCCUGAUGCAGGAACGCCGCGUGCGGGAUGACGGCCUUCGGGUUGUAAACCGCUUUCGCCUGUGCCGAAGCGUGAGUGCCGGUACUGGGUAAAGAAGCACCGCCUAACUCCGU